CGGUAUCAUUCGCCGUAGUAACAACGAACUGUGAGAAGUCAGCAGAAGCCGUAGUAGGCAUGGCUCUGAAAUGAGCUAUACUAAAGGGC
rnacentral:ncRNA from 1 species